rnacentral:ncRNA from 1 species
ACCACCCUAUUCUUGGGGCUGUGCUUUCAAUGAACACAUAGUGAGUGCAGUACCACUAAUGACUAUACAACAUGACUACAUCAACUAAGGCUUUGCUUUACCUUGGUGCAAUUUUUGGAAAA